rnacentral:lncRNA from 1 species
AUGAAGAAAUCUGACAUUACUAAGAUGUCAAAUAGAGAGCCUGAGAAAAGAAAGAAGGUGGACGGUGGACUAAAGGUCUCAGCUGAUGCAGCAGUAAACGAUGUUGCAGCUACCGCGAAACACACAGCUUCAAAUGCAAAGGUGGAAAAUAACACCAAGAUUCAAAGAAGAAAAACUAUUGGAGGAAUAGAUUUUGAACAACUUGCAGCUUCCCAAGCCGAGGAGAAGUGGAGGUCUCUUGCAGACUUCAGGGACACCUCAGAGAAACUGUGCAUCUCUGUGAAGGCCAUAUCUGCCUUGUAUCUGUCAAAAGUGUCCCCCCAAGAACCAAAGACUCUGGUGCAAUCUGAAUUAGGAAAGAGGCCAAGACUAACAAAGGUAAAAUGUAAUUUUGGAUAAAAUGCAUGAUGAUUUGGUUUGUGCAACUGUUUGGAGUAAUUGCAAAUUGAACUGCAUUGUCAUAAACACAAAUGUUACUCGUCUGAUUUGCCAUUUCUG